CAAGGCGACGCCAGGCCGCUUUGCGCGCUGAAACUACAUUUCCCAGAGGCCACGGCAGGCUCUUUGGCGUUCCUCUUAGGGCAGCUAAUUCUCCGGGCGUUAAGCAGCACGUGCGGGCUUUCGUUCCGUCCAAGUCAGGCUCCGAGUCCUCCUCAAGUCCUGAAGUAACGCCCGGGAAAGGCAGUGACCAGCGAGAAUUUGACGCGGGAUAAAGUCGGUCCGUCACCGCGGGGAGCGGACCGGGGGCGGUCCGGGAGGACGGAGUAAGAGACACAACGGCCAGGAGAAAUGAGAGGCAGAGGACAGAAAACUACAGUCUGAGAAUCAGCUGUCAGCUUGAUCAAAAUUACAAGAGCCAAGAUCAAUACUGAACCAACAAAAAGGCCUGUGGGCAGGAGGCUUUACUAUGAAGCAUGAGAAAAGGACUGAAAGACUAACUUUAAGGAAAUCUUUACAUCUCCUGGCAUUCUUCCCAUCAAACAAGACCAUGUAGGAUGCACCUGCUGCUCCCUGGACUCAGAAUGGUUUCCUACAUGGCCCAUCACUUUGUCAGUUCUUGGAGAGACCAGGGAAUCCAGAGUUUCCUACAUGACUGGGGAGUCCUUGGAAAUGAGUUUCAUCUUGAGUCAAGGAAGAAGAAUCACAUCCUGACAAGGACAGUUGCUUUGUCCCCAAGCCCAGGGCCAUAAAGAAGAGCUGGCAAAGUGUCCCCAGAUGCUGAUAAGUUUGUAGGAUUUACAUUGGACUGAUUAUACAUGUGGCUAACAAGUGAACCCUGGCCCAUAUUCAUGGAGAAGGCCUACAGCAGACCCUGGGCCAGAACUGGGAGGAACAUAUCUCCUCAGGGAAAAUUCCCAUACCCAGUGAGACCAGGUUACUGUAGUUCUCCAGCAUCACUUCCUGGUACACGUUUCUCUGAGAAGGACCCAGCUUCCUCCACUCAUCCCGUGUAAAGAGCACAGCCACAUCCUCGAAGGUCACCGACACCUGUAAUGACAAGCCAUCCCAGCUCACCCAGGACCUCUCAUCACACAGGAAUUUACAGUCCAGCUGGCAGACAAAAUAAACACAUUGGAUCAAUGAAAGAAGAAUGUGUACCUGGGCGGGACUAUAUACCAUCUCCCAGAUCUAUCCUCAUUUUAGAGAUAAGGACCAGAAUCUGGUCCAGGACAGUCAAGACCACAGGCC